rnacentral:rRNA from 1 species
CAUGUCAAUAACCCGUAAUAAAGGACUGAACUAAAUGGAAACCACCUUGAUGUCUUUGGUUGGGGCAACCGCGGGGAACUAAAUAACCCCCAUGUGGAAUGAGAGAACUUCUCUUACAGCUCAGAGUUACAACUCUAAUAAACAGAAUUUCUGACCAAAAAGAUCCGGCAACGCCGAUCAACGGACCUAGUUACCCUAGGGAUAACAGCGCAAUCCUCUUUUAGAGUCCCUAUCGACAAGGGGGUUUACGACCUCGAUGUUGGAUCAGGACAUCCUAAUGGUGCAGCCGCUAUUA